UUUAAAACUGGAACAGUUUACCAGGUCAGGGCUUCUUACCAGGGUCCACCUCAGAAACCAGAACAGAAAAGAGGAGCAAACCACUCAGAGAGGCAAGUUGAACCCAAACAGAGACUGGCUGGUGCUGACUGUCAUGUACCCAAGGUAACG